CCGGAAUCUAAGUUUGAAACAGAAGGUGGCCCUUGCUACGUCCCUUUUGGGGCCCGUCCCUUGGCCUUUCUAAGCCUCAGUUUCUCCACCUGUGAAAUGGUCACCCUAACAACAGCGCUACCACGUUUGUGCCGCCCCGAGGUUGAGUGAGAAAAGGAACAUGCCGGAUCAACAUCGACGAUGUUCUCGUUUCUCUAGGUACCUCUGCUGUCCUUAACCUCCCGGGAUCUUCCGCCCACCCUGCCCAGGGCCUCUUCUGAUGGAGCAGACAGGGCGGCUUCACAGGGGACUGUUCAGCUGCACCUUCAUCUUAAGCAACAUAUGUGCAUUGAUGGAGCUUACCUGGUGCCAAGAAAGUGGUGAAAGGCAUGGAAAUAAGUCUCUGCACCUCAUCUACAUACCCGCACUCAGGAGAUGGAAGCAGAUGAGCAGCACUGGACUGACCUGCCCGAAGAAAUGUUCGACUGCACAAGCAUAGCCUUGGGGUGAGUCUCUGCCUCAAGAACAGGCUGAUAAACUCACUCUCAGUCACACAGGCUUUGGGCCUUCUAACUCCAGCCUCCUAGACUCAAAACCCCAGGUCAGCCCUGGAGACAGUCACAGCAUACUGCUGAUUCUCCCUUAUGCUUGCCAUUACUUCAUGCAAGAGUGCCCAGUGUGAAUGGAUGCCCUCCUCAGGCCCAGUCCACCACGGCUGGAGAUUGGGAUGUGUUACACAAAGGAGCUG
rnacentral:lncRNA from 1 species